rnacentral:tRNA from 1 species
AGGUAGCUCAGUUAUAGAGCACUUGCCCAGCAAGUAUGAGGCCCUGGGUUCAAUUCCCAGUAACCCUU